rnacentral:snRNA from 1 species
GCGCUCACUUCGGCAGCACAUAUACUAAAAUUGGAACGAUACAGAGAAGGUUAGCAUGGCCCCUGUGCAAGGAUGACACACAAAUUCAUGAGGCGUUCUUAUUUUUA